UGGAGUGGGUCCUACUUACAGCAAGAAGAGUAUACACGGAUAACUGGGAAGCUAAAGGGCAGACAGUGACACAUGACAUAGAUGAGGCUCCUCAGCAUCCACUGCAUUCCCCGUCUAGUGUGCAGCAGCGGAAAAGCAAAAACUAAUAUCCCAGGAUCCCUUGCAAUUCAGGUUCAGAAUGCAAUUUAGGUUCUACCUGCGACUUGUACUCAAGUGCUUUGAUUUGAAACUGGGUCAUAUGGAAAGCAGCAGGAUGCAGGGU
rnacentral:lncRNA from 1 species